GAUGAACGCUGGCGGCAUGCCUAACACAUGCAAGUCGAGCGAACACAUCAGGAGCUUUCUCCCCUGACGUUAUCGCCGGACGGGUGCUUAACACGUGGAUAACCUACCUAUACGACUGGGAUAAUUACGGGAAACAGUAUCUAAUACCCGAUAAUUUAUCGAACUUCAUUGUUCAAUAGUUAAAGACGCUUUUGCUUUGACUAAUAGCCUAAUCCGCGCCGCAUUAGCUAGUUGGUAAGGUAGCGGCUUACCAAGGCAACGAUGGGAAGCCGACCUGAGAGGGUGAUCGGCCACCUUGGAAGUGAGACACGGUAGAGACACUGACGGGAGGACGCAGUAGGGAAUCUUACGCGAGGGGGGAAAGCCUGACAGAGCAACAUCGCGUGAGGGAUGAAGGAGUUCGGAUCGUAAAGCGCUGUUAUUAGGAAAGAACAAAAGUGUAAGUACCUAUGCACGUAUUGACGGUACCUAAAGAAAAAGCCACGGCUAACUACGUG
rnacentral:rRNA from 1 species